rnacentral:rRNA from 1 species
AUUGAACGCUGGCGGCAGGCCUAACACAUGCAAGUCGAACGAGUGGCGGACGGGUGAGUAAUGUCUGGGAAACUGCCUGAUGGCGGUGGAUAACUCCUGGAAACGGUUGCUAAUACCGCAUACCUUCCGUUUUUCCCACAUUGCAUUAGCUUGUUGGUUGGGUAACGGCUCACCAAGGCGACGAUCCCUAGCUGGGCUGAGAGGAUGACCAGCAACACUGGAACUGAGACACGGUCCAGACUCCUACGGGAGGCAGCAGUGGGGAAUAUUGCACAAUGGGCGCAAGCCUGAUGCAGCCAUGCCGCGGGUAUGAAGAAGGCCUUCGGGUUGUAAAGUACUUUCAGCGGGGAGGCGUUAACCGAAGAAGAAGCACAGGCUAACUCCGUGCCAGCAGCCGCGGUAAGAG